rnacentral:rRNA from 2 species
UAGUACGAUCGUACCAGCACUAAUGCUCCAUAUCCCAUCAGAACUCCGCAGUCAAGCGUGCUUGGGCGAGAGUAGUAGUUGGACGGGUGACCUACUGGGAAGUCCUCGUGUUCCACCUA